AGUCCCCUAGUGUAGCGGUCCAUCAUGGCGGGUUCUGAUCCCUCCGACCUCGGUUCAAAUCCGGGGGGGGCUACCA
rnacentral:tRNA from 1 species